rnacentral:rRNA from 1 species
GACGAACGCUGGCGGCGUGCUUAACACAUGCAAGUCGAACGGAAAGGCCCUGCUUUUGUGGGGUGCUCGAGUGGCGAACGGGUGAGUAACACGUGAGUAACCUGCCCUUGACUUUGGGAUAACUUCAGGAAACUGGGGCUAAUACCGGAUAGGAGCUCCUGCUGCACGGUGGGGGUUGGAAAGUUUCGGCGGUUGGGGAUGGACUCGCGGCUUAUCAGCUUGUUGGUGGGGUAGUGGCUUACCAAGGCUUUGACGGGUAGCCGGCCUGAGAGGGUGACCGGCCACAUUGGGACUGAGAUACGGCCCAGACUCCUACGGGAGGCAGCAGUGGGGAAUAUUGCACAAUGGGCGGAAGCCCGAUGCAGCAACGCCGCGUGCGGGAUGACGGCCUUCGGGUUGUAAACCGCUUUCGCCUGUGACGAAGCGUGAGUGACGGUAAUGGGUAAAGAAGCACCGGCUAACUACGUG